UUUAUUCGUGCAGGGUUGUUAUUUGCCGAGCUCCUUUUCGACUUUUACGCCGUUCGAAGAUACCCGGUUGUCAUUCUGUCAAUGGCUGCAGGUUCGCUUGGGGUCAUUCGGGUCCGGGGUCCCUUCCAAGGUUUGAAUUCGAGGAUCCGAGCCUCUGUCACCCUCGGGCGCUGUUUAUUUUCCAAUCGUCACUGUUGCAAUCCAUUGCCUUCUUUUUUCGCUUGGAGUCUUUCUCCGCUAAAGCCGAGGCGAAAUUCGGCUCCCGUGGGAGUCCGGGCGGAGUCUGCUUGC
rnacentral:lncRNA from 1 species